UCCCAAGUAGUACAGUGGUGAGUACGCCUUUAUCCAACGACGCAGGAAACCGGAGUUCGAAUCACCGCUUGGGAG